rnacentral:lncRNA from 1 species
AAAGGAGUUUCUUAAUUUGGUUGUUGAAAUUUCAUGUGCUUUUUCGUUAUAUUCUUUUAUAAAUAAGUAAAGAUUUGAGCUUGAGUGUAAUUGUAAGCUGCAAGUAACAAACAAAGAAACAAACAAUUGGAAUUUGUUCACUUAGUACUUUUCUAAUUUUGAGUGGAAGGAACAUUGGAAUUUGAUGGCAUCGAAGAGGACAUCUUAUGAUGAUGAUGAUGAUAGUACUAAGAAUCUUCAUGUUCCUAGUACUAAACGAAUCAAACAUCAUGAUGAUGGCAACCCAGAACAACAACACCCUUUAUUUCCGUAUGUCUUUGUCUUUUUUACUACUAGUAGUAUUUUGCUUUUGAUCUAAUUCAUGUAAAUGUUUCUUUCUUAUUUGACUUGACUUGUUCUGUUUGUGUUUUAUUUGUGUGUAGCACUACUAUGAGUCUUCUUAGUGCCUUCAAUGACAAGAACAUCAUUGACUUUUACGUUGAACCCUUCAUUCGAAAAGUGGUAGUAACUAN